UGAUCGUGAAUGUUAUUCACGGUAUAUAAUAUUAAUAUUUGAGGCUAGAUUACACCCCUAAUGCUAAGGACCCAUCGAGACCGUUCUUCCCGAAGGGGGACCGACUGCGCCACGGACGGACUGGGCGAGCGGAACUGACGUGUGGCUUUUAGUAAACAUCCGGUCCUUUAACUCGGGGCUGCGUAAUAACCACCGAGCGCUUGGAAGACAAACGAUGUCAUCUUCCUUCUGUCAGGAGGAUCCAAGUGAAGCUACAGGAGUUUCAUUAACGUCAACAACUUGGACCGAACACUUUGUUUUGCUUGAUGAAGAGCAGGAAGGGCAGCCUGGAGAGAAAGAGAAGCCGGGUUGAGCCCACUACCAUCAUCCACGUACCACGAGGAAGAUGAGGGAGAGAAAUGAUCCUACCAUUAAAGAGGAAGGACUGAUGCAUUUACUGAGACGGGACGUGAGGGCCUAAUCUGCGUCCUCAGAGUUCAAGCCCAGCAGGCUGCAGCGGUCCUGACAUAUUCCGGAACAGCAGCACAGUCUUUGGAUGACUCCUCUGAAGAUGAAAACAUGGCGAGUUCUUCUCAAGAGAAGCAGUACAGGUGUGCCUCAGCUCCACGGUCCCUCCUGCAGCCUCCGCUCCUGAUGCUAACCUCAUGUCUCCAUCACACCAAGCAGCAGACCUGGAUUGACAGACCUUUCUCCAGAGCUGCCCCCUCCCUCUGAAACCCCCCUCUCCAAAACACUAUUUGUGGCGUUUUUAAAGUCUUAUUUGCAUGAGAAUUGUUGAUCAUAACAUUUCCAGCAGAUGCCUUAAUGUAAUGUUUGUGCACAAUAAAUGACAUUGAUCAUAA